UAAGCGGAGGAAAAGAAACUAACAAGGAUUCCCCUAGUAACUGCGAGUGAAGCGGGAAAAGCUCAAAUUUAAAAUCUGGUGGUCUUUUGGCCGUCCGAGUUGUAAUUUAGAGAAGCGUCUUCCGCGCUGGACCGUACACAAGUCUCCUGGAACGGAGCGUCAUAGAGGGUGAGAAUCCCGUCUUUGGUACGGACCCCCAGGGCUUCUGUGAUGCGCUCUCGAAGAGUCGAGUUGUUUGGGAAUGCAGCUCAAAAUGGGUGGUGAACUCCAUCUAAAGCUAAAUAUUGGCGAGAGACCGAUAGCGAACAAGUACCGUGAGGGAAAGAUGAAAAGCACUUUGGAAAGAGAGUGAAACAGUACGUGAAAUUGUUGAAAGGGAAACGCUUGAAGUCAGUCGCGUCCGCCGAGACUCAGUCUCGCUCCGGCUUGGCGUAUUUCUCGGUCGACGGGUCAGCAUCAAUUUCGUCCCUCGGAUAAUGGCAAGGGAAAGGUGGCACCUUUGCGGGUGUGUUAUAGUCUUUUGUCGCAUGCGAGGGGUGAGAUUGGGGAACUCAGCACGCGCGCCCUCUGGGGUGUGUCGGGGCCUCGACCCACGCCACGUGCUUAGGAUGCUGGCGUGAUGGCUUUAAACGACC
rnacentral:rRNA from 1 species